CCCUUAGAUGUUCUGGGCUGCACGCGCGCGACAAUGACGUUUGCAACGAGAUUGCGAGGCCGUCAGGUCGAGCUGAUCUUGCAAGCUGCGUCGUGAUAGGGACAGUCGAUUGCAAUUAUUCGACUCGAACGAGGAAUUCCUUGUAAUCGCGCAUCAUCAGUGCGCGCUGAAUACGUCCCUGCCCUUUGUACACACCGCCUGUCGCUCCUACCGAUUGAGUGAUCCGGUGAAUGUUUUGGAUCGGCUUCAAGUUGGUUCGCGCCUCUUGCUUGCUGUGAAAUCAUGUAAACCUUAUUGCUUAGAGGAAGGAGAAGUCGUAACA
rnacentral:rRNA from 1 species